AAGAAAGAAAGAAAGAAAGAAAGAAAGAGGGGGAGAGAGGAAAAAUAGAAAAAAAAAAAAGUUAAGCUUAUUAUCUUUGGUCUGUUUUGACCAAAGAGGAUCACAAGUGUGACCCCAAAGUGAGGAAUCAGAGGAUCAAACAUUAAAUAUUCACAUUCUUAAAAAAAGUUUACUCAAACAUGGAUAUUUAGUCUUUAUAAACAUAUUUUGAUUCUGUAGGGCACAGUUGUCUUUGGCAGUUUGACAUCAGUGCUGUUUGAUGAGUCCGAGUGGGAGACUCCUCACUCUUUUAACCCGGGUCACUUCCUGGAUGCUGAGGGCAAAUUCAGGAGGAGAGAUGCCUUCUUAACUUUCUCUAUAGGAGAAAGAUUGUUUUUGUUUGAUUUUCAGGAAAGAGAGUGUGUCUUGGAGAGCAGCUGGCACAGAUGGAGCUGUUCUUGUUUUUCUCCUCUCUGCUGCAGCGCUUCACUUUCUCUUCACCAGCAGGUGUGGAGCCCAACUUCGAUAAUUAAUGGGAACCACUCGAUGUCCCAAACCAUACAAAUUAUGUGCAGUGCCACAUUAAGACUAGCAACACACACAAAUAUGUGAUUAUGGAUUGUGUGUGUUUCUGAGAAAUGUAGAGAGAUAAUGUAUCCUUUUCUUUUUUGGAAAAUUGUGGGAAUGGUCAUUGAGAGUAAUUCAUUGUGGUAAAUGGGUGGAUUGGAAUGGGUGCAGUGUAUAAUAUUUUUGUAUUUGCAAUAAAAUGUAUAAUUUGAUAUGAUAUCUGAGUAUGAAAUAAUGAGCAGGAUUCCUCUGAAAUUUUCAGGAUUUCCACACUUAUUUGACCAGUGACAUUUCCUGACCUUCUCAGUCAUUUGUAAUUACUGGAUAAGGACUUUUAAAAAUCAUUUCAUUUCAGACAUAACCCUUAAAAAAUGCACAAGCUCUGUCAUUUUGUUUCUUUUUGUCUUUAUAGUUGAUCAAGACAAAAACUCAAACUAACGUUUUUGAUUAAAAAAAGUUGUAUCCUUCAUACCUUGUCUUGUGAUGCUGUAAAAAUAUGAAUACUUAUAACAGUAAAUAAAAUGGUAGAUUAUAAUUUCAUUGCUGAUAUAUUGUUUAAACAACCAACAGGUGGAAGAAAACUAAAUAAGGAGAGGAAAGGUGAAAGCUCCAGAUAAACAUUCUGCAUAUUACGUAGCCUUUUAAAGCAUCAAGUGAAUUUGUGCCAAGAAAGGCAGUCCAAGGACAUCAAAUUAAUGCAAUGAGUAGAUCAUGUAAACAUCGUAAAAAAAUCGCGGGUUAUUUAUUCGCUGUACCUAAAUCCAAACACCGAACCUGCCUAACAGUCCAAAAAAAGGAGCACCAUGGACCCGUUGCGUCUUUACGAGUGGAUCGAUAUCAAGGCUGUUUUGAUAUUUUCUUGUGUGUUUUUACUGUUGAGUGAUUAUAUCAGGCAUAAAGUGCCAAAAAACUUUCCUCCUGGACCAUGGGCUUUACCGAUCAUUGGACACCUUCACCACAUCGCUUAUACGAAGAUUCAUCUACAGAUGGCAAAGUUUGCAGAAAAAUAUGGAGACAUUUUACACAUUCGAAUUCUCGGACCAAGAAUUGUUAUUUUGAGCGGAUACAAAAGAGUGAAGGAGGUCUAUACACAACAGGGUGAUAACCUCGCUGAUCGUCCGGUGUUACCAAUGAUUAAUGACAUUUCCGAAGACAAAGGUCAGUCUUGUAAAAUUUAAAAAAAUACUGAAGUUAUGAUUUGCUGUAACUUCACACUGUCUACACCAGACGCGAGCGGCGCGACGCGACAGAAGAGAGUAAAGGGGACGAACGCGAAAAAGAGGCAUAAUGAGGAGUUUUGCGGGAGCAUCAGACCAACUGCAACAUAAGCAAUUAAAGACAUUUGAGAUGAUUUUAGUCAAAAUGGUACUUGAAAAACAAAAGAAAUUCAAAAUUAAUCAAUUUCAACCAAAUAUGGCAUAAUUUGCGCCUGUUCUCGGUAUGACUCAAAGAAUCGAGACCAGUGUCAUUAAAGGGUUAGUUCACCCAAAAAUGAAAAUUCUGUCAUUUAUUACUUACCCUCAUGCCAUUCCACACCCGUAAGACCUUCGUUAAUCUUCGGAACACAAAUUAAGAUAUUUAGUUGAAAUCCGAUGAGUGGGGGUUCAAUCUUCAACUGGCUGGCGGUAGCAGCCACUGACAGGUCACAUGACCUGGUGGCAGCUGCCAGUCUUGAUUCUGGCAGGUCUGUCAGCUGUGGCUAGCAGAGUGUAACGCGUUCCCUAUUUCUAUCGCUGCAUGGAAAUACAUAAUUUUAUUAUUAUUAAUAUAACAUUAUGACUCUAUUCUUUUGUGUGGUUGACGUUUUAGAUGGGUUUAUCUCAAUUAAAGCAGUUAAAUGACCGUGAUCUCAACUGGCGGAAAAUGACGCUUAGCCCAGCCUGCCACUGCUGAGAUGUGAGUAAUGCAGUUCUUUAAUAACUCUCGCUGCAUGAAAAUAGCCUACAUAAUUUUAUUAUUAAUAAUCUAAUAUUAUGACUCUAUUCUUUUGAAUGGUUGACGUUUUAGAUGGGUUUAUCUCAAUUAAAGCAGUUAAAUGACCGUGAUCUCAACUGGCGGAAAAUGACGCUCAGCCUGCCACUGCUGAGACGCGAGUAUAACGCGUUCUCUAAUAACUUUCGCUGCAUGGAAAUAGGCCUACAUAAUGUUAUUAUUAAUAAUAAUAUUAUGACGCUAUUCUUUUGUAUGGUUGACGUUUUAGAUGGGUUUAUCUCAAUUAAAGCAGUUAAAUGACCGUGAUCUCAACUGGCGGAAAAUGACGCUCAGCCCAGCCUGCCACUGCUGAGACGCGAGUAUAACGCGUUCUCUAAUAACUUUCGCUGCAUGGAAAUACAUAAUUUUAUUAUUAAUAAUAAUAUUAUGACGCUAUUCUUUUGUAUGGUUGACGUUUUAGAUGGGUUUAUCUCAAUUAAAGCAGUUAAAUGACCGUGAUCUCAACUGGCGGAAAAUGACGCUCAGCCCAGCCUGCCACUGCUGAGAUCACGUUUUAGGUGGGUUUCUCUCCAUUACAGUCAAAAUGACCGUGAUCCUGACUGGUUGCUAUGAUACUUCUCUGGACGCUCAACCAGCCGCUCCCUCUCUCUUUAAGGAUUUUUUUCGCAGCUAGUGUUUUAAGUCUGUAAUAGGCUACUACUACUAAUAAUAAUAAUAUUAAUUUUUAAAAAAGCUGCAAACUUAAACGAAUUUGUGAUUAAUUCCUUGGGAUGAAUCUUUCAUUUUUUUAUCUUUAACACUAGAACCGCCACGGGAUAAAUUUUAGCCUACCCGUCGCUGUUUUUCAAAUGUAGCCUACAUAACAGGUUUUCUAUAAAACAUUCAAGUCUCCCAGUCAUUGACUUUUACUAAAAUUGUGUAAUUUACAAUCCCUUGGUGUUAAAAAUUGUUUAGAUAAAACCAGAUCAUAAAACAUUUAUAGGCUACCUAAGCGCCACGCGGGUCAAAUUUACCCGCUAUAUAAUGUCUGUAUUUUCUCGCUGUCAUUUUCUGUUUCAUAAAUAAAGUCACAAUGAGUAAAAGCCGGCGAUUUAUGGAUGCCGAAGAGGUAGAAGCCCUAAAUGCCGUGAGUGAAGGAGAGUCUGAUGGAUGACAAAUUCAAGCGUGCAGCUUCACCUUAAUUAUUUAUAUAAGGUUUCACGAGUUCACACUUACAAAUAAGUCAGGUAAAUAAAUUGGUAAACGUAUUUGGCGUGCUGUCCGGGGAGAGGGCUCCGAGCUCGGUAAUCGGCCCGAACACAGAGCUACCCCAGGACGCGCGUCACUGAUCUCACCACCAUCAUACAUCCUAUGCAGUGUGGGGAAUUAUUAAGCUAUUGUUCAUUAUUGUCUAUAGGCAAUUUUAGUAAUUUAUCUUAAUAUAUGAUUAAUUAUAAUAUUACACCACCCAAAUAUGUAUUUAAUUCCUUCUAAUUCUCGUUGUCAGCUCAGACUUGUUUAUCUUGACCGUUAUGAAAAGUGAUUAGUGUAGCCUGCAUAAAAAGCCUUUUAACAUAAAACAACAGGACAAAAAUAUAGUUGAUGACAAGACAUAAUCAUUUCAUGACUUUAGACACUUCUUUGUGAAGACAGUGACAUAAUACAGUGAAAUAAUAUGUUCUUUAGUCAUAUAAAUACAGGUGUAAUGUGCGUGGGUAAAAUUUACCCGCAUGGCGGUUUUAGGUAUACAGCGACCCCCGGCGGUUCUAGUGUUAAACUGAGUGUCACGUAAUUUUUUGAAUAAAGAUGUUGUUUGUAAUUUUGUGUGUUAAGUCUUAGAUGUCAAACUUAUAGACUUGUCAGACUUAUCGUGUAGUCAAAAAUUCCAACUUCACAGAAGAUGGUAUAGACAACAGGUCAGGACAAUAUGAUACGAUGGGUCUAGCAGACAUCUUUAUGGUAGG